rnacentral:rRNA from 1 species
AUGGGUUUUGCUACUUUCUUUGAUGUUGAUACCGUGGCCCUCUUGUGGAGCAAGACUCUUAAAGUAGCCUUUGUUGGGCAUGUCGAGAAUGGUCUUUAUGUGAUUAACUUUUCGGAGCGACCCACUAAGAUCGCGACAUGCCUAAUGGCUAAAGUUGAUGUGGGAUGGCUUUGGCAUCAACGUUUAGCCCACGUCAAUAUGAGAUCUUUGCAAAGCCUUCUCAAGGGGGACCAUGUCCGUGGACUAACAAAUGUUAUUUUUGCCAAAGAUCGUGCUUGCAGUGCUUGUAUCGAGGGAAAGCUUCCUGAGACGGCUCACCCUCCCACGACUAUCAUCUACUCGAAGAGACCCUUGGAGCUCCUUCACAUAGAUCUCUUUGGGCCUCCAUCAUUUGAUAGUCUUGGGGGUAGGAAGUAUUGCUUGGUGAUCGUGGAUGACUAUUCAAGAUAUACUUGGGUAUAUUUCUUCAAGAGGAAGAGCGAGACUCAACAAACCGUCAUCGACUUUGCAAAUGAAGCUCAACGGCAACAUGAUGCAAAGAUCUUGAUCAUAAGGAGUGACAACGGCACCGAGUUCAAGAACUACACCUUGGAUGAGUUUCUCAGUGAUGAGGGGAUCAAGCAUCAGUAUGCCGCACCUUACACCCCUCAACAAAAUGGUGUAGCGGAAAGGAGGAACAGGACGUUGAUGGAUGCAGCAAGGACCAUGAUGGAGGAGUUCAAGUUUCCUUAUAACUUUUGGGACGAAGCCAUCAACACAACAUGUCAUGCGUCAAAUUGUCUCUACCUCCGCAAAGGCUUGAACAAGACUCCCUAUGAAAUACUUACCGGUAACAAGCCCAACCUCAAGUACUUCCGGGUGUUCGGGUGUAAGUGUUUCAUUCUCAAGAAAGGUGUUCGUUUGUCUAAAUUUGAGGCUAGAGCUUAUGAGGGCAUAUUUGUUGGUUAUGCUACAAACUCUCAUGCUUACCGUGAACUCAACAAGUCCACCGGACUCAUUGAGGAGACGUGUAACGUGGAGUUUGACGAGAAUAAUGGCUCCCAAGUGGAGCAAAGUGGUACUUGUGAUGUAGGUGAUGAAAUUCCUCCCCAAGCCAUAAGAAGAAUGGUUGUUGGUCAUAUCCUACCCAUUGAGGAACCCCUUGUGGCCUAA